UUUGGACCGAUUCAAUGCAGUCCGAGUG
rnacentral:piRNA from 1 species